GUGAAUCAUCGAAUUUUUGAACGCAAAUUGCACUCUCCUCGGAGAGUAUGCCUGUUUGAGGGUCAGCCUAUAAAAAAUCGACAUCGUUGCUGUUUCGCGGUGGCGUUCGUCGGAAAUUGGGUUAUCUUAAACCCUUUUGGGUUUUAAGAGCCUUAAAAUUUUCUUUUUGGUUCCAUGAACGAUUCUAAGAUUUAUUUCUUCACAUGUUUAAGGUAUGGAUUUUUAUUAGACGUCACCAUCAUAUCGGAUCGCGUCCAUAAUCUUUCAUUAACUGACCUCAGACGGG
rnacentral:misc_RNA from 1 species